rnacentral:rRNA from 1 species
GGCCCCGCACAAGCAGCGGAGCGUGUUGCUUAAUUCGAUGCAACGCGAAGAACCUUACCUGGGUUUGACAUGUAGGGAAAAGCUCUAGAGAUAGGGUGUCCUUCGGAACGCAGUGACAGGUGCUGCAUGGCUGUCGUCAGCUCGUGUCGUGAGAUGUUGGGUUAAGUCCCGUAACGAGCGCAACCCUGUCCUUAUUUGCCAUCAUUUAGUUGGGCACUCUAGGAGACUGCCGGUGACAAACCGGAGGAAGUGGGGACGACGUCAAGUCAUCAUGGCCCUUACGACCAGGGCUACACACGUGCUACAAUGGGCGUACAAAGGGUUGCAAUCCCGCGAGGGGGAGCU